GUGCUCACUUUGGAAGCACAUAUACUAAAAUUUAAAUGAUUCAGAGAAGAUUAACAUUGCCUCUGUGUAAGGAUGAAAUACAAAUUCAUCAAGUCUUCCACAUUUUU